rnacentral:misc_RNA from 1 species
GAUGAAGAACGUAGCGAAAUGCGAUACUUGGUGUGAAUUGCAGAAUCCCGUGAACCAUCGAGUCUUUGAACGCAAGUUGCGCCCGAAGCCACUAGGCCGAGGGCACGCCUGCCUGGGCGUCACACGCCGUUGCCCCCCCAUCUACUCCUUCGGGGUUGCGGGGGGGCGGAUGAUGGCCUCCCGUGCGCCUAGCCGCGCGGUUGGCAUAAAUACCAAGUCCUCGGCGACGCACGCCACGACAAUCGGUGGUUGCGAAACCUCGGUUGCCCGUCGUGUGCGUUCGUCGCGCAUCGAGGGCUCGAAAAAAUGCUCGGCUCCGGCUGGGCUUUCAACGCGACCCCAGGUCAGGCGGGGUUACCCGCUGAAUUUAAGCAUAUCAAUAAGCGGAGGA